rnacentral:lncRNA from 1 species
CUCAGUGCCGUAACUCUUCUGUUCUGGGCGAUACCAAGUUCAAUUUUAACGAAGCUCUUUUAGUUCCAAGAAACAGACACAGCCAGACCAGUCUGAAAAUUUUUAUUUUCUGAAAAAUGUAACUUGUAAGAACACACGUAGAGCAAAAGGGAGAAACUUGGAAAUUUUUACGCAAAAAACACCUAAGUAAAACCAUUCUUGAAAGGACACAUGAACAAAUUGAACCAGUCAGAGGGGAAAGAUCAGGAUGAUGAAGUGACUCAGAAAUCAGAUUAUUCUCUGAAGGACAUACUUAAAACUAAAAGAUGUUGGAUCUCCAAUAUGAAUUUGUGGGAUGUCUGGACACAGACAGAUACACAGGAAGAACAUCACAUAAACAAGAAGACAGAGAUUGGGGUAAUGUUUCUACAAGUCAAGGAUUAACAAAGAUUGCCUGCAAACCACAGAAACCAGGAAAGAGGCCUCAAAGAGAUUCUCACUCACACCCUCAGGAGGAACCAACCUUGCUGACCUUAAUCUCGGACUUCUG